UCGGCCCGGCAUUAGGUGGGCCCCUGGGGACUCUACGGGAGUCAGCAGUAGGGAAUCUUCCACAAUGGACGAAAGUCUGAUGGAGCAACGCCGCGUGAGCGAUAAAGGCUUCGGGUCGUAAAGCUCUGUUGUUAGGGAAGAACAAGUAGCGGAGUAACUGUCCGACUGAUGUACCUAACCAGAAAGCGACGGCUA
rnacentral:rRNA from 1 species